UGGGGAAUUUUGGACAAUGGGCGCAAGCCUGAUCCAGCCAUGCCGCGUGCAGGAUGAAGGCCCUCGGGUUGUAAACUGCUUUUGUACGGAACGAAAAGCCUCUUUCUAAUAAAGAGGGGUGAUGACGGUACCGUAAGAAUAAGCACCGGCUAACUACGUGCCAGCAGCCGCGGUAAUACGUAGGGUGCGAGCGUUAAUCGGAAUUACUGGGCGUAAAGCGUGCGCAGGCGGUCUUGCAAGACAGUGGUGAAAUCCCCGGGCUCAACCUGGGAACUGCCAUUGUGACUGCAAGGCUGGAGUACGGCAGAGGGCGAUGGAAUUCCGCGUGUAGCAGUGAAAUGCGUAGAUAUGCGGAGGAACACCGAUGGCGAAGGCAGUCCCCUGGGCCUGUACUGACGCUCAUGCACGAAAGCGUGGGGAGCAAACA
rnacentral:rRNA from 1 species